rnacentral:sRNA from 1 species
CCCCCAUAGGCUACGACGACUUCGUGGCCAACUGCACCAUCCAGUUUGAGGAGCUGCUGCAGAACGGGAGCCGCCACUUCGAGGACUGGAUAUUCAGGUCUGUGCUUCUGCCUGACUGAGGAUCAUCUAGGAAAUGAAACUAAACUUGGCUUUGACCUAGACCUUGUGUGACCUUGAGGUCAUCAUCCUCUCACAGUCACCCUAGAGAAUCCUUUACUUACCUAUGCUGAAAAAAAUGCUCCCAUCAGUUACCCUAUGAUUAGGUCUCCAGCCCUUUCAUCAGAAGACAGAGCUUUAAAAUGCAG